UGGGCACUCUAAGUUGACUGCCGGUGACAAACCGGAGGAAGGUGGGGAUGACGUCAAAUCAUCAUGCCCCUUAUGAUUUGGGCUACACACGUGCUACAAUGGACAAUACAAAGGGCAGCGAAACCGCGAGGUCAAGCAAAUCCCAUAAAGUUGUUCUCAGUUCGGAUUGUAGUCUGCAACUCGACUACAUGAAGCUGGAAUCGCUAGUAAUCGUAGAUCAGCAUGCUACGGUGAAUACGUUCCCGGGUCUUGUACACACCGCCCGUCACACCACGAGAGUUUGUAACACCCGAAGCCGGUGGAGUAACCUUUUAGGAGCUAGCCGUCGAAGGUGGGACAAAUGAUUGGGGUGAAGUCGUAACAAGGUAGCCGUAUCGGAAGGUGCGGCUGGAUCACCUCCUUUCUA
rnacentral:rRNA from 1 species